AUUGAACGCUGGCGGCAUGCCUUACACAUGCAAGUCGAACGGCAGCACGGACUUCGGUCUGGUGGCGAGUGGCGAACGGGUGAGUAAUAUAUCGGAACAUACCUUGUAGUGGGGGAUAACUAUCCGAAAGGAUAGCUAAUACCGCAUACGAUCUAAGGAUGAAAGCGGGGGAUCUUCGGACCUCGUGCUAUAAGAGUGGCCGAUAUCUGAUUAGCUAGUUGGUGAGGUAAAGGCUCACCAAGGCGACGAUCAGUAGCUGGUCUGAGAGGACGACCAGCCACACUGGAACUGAGACACGGUCCAGACUCCUACGGGAGUCAGCAGUGGGGAAUUUUGGACAAUGGGGGCAACUCUGAUCCACCAAUGCCGCGUGAGUGAAGAAGGCCUUCGGGUUGUAAAGCUCUUUUGUCAGGGAAGAAACGGUUGCGGCUAAUAUCCAUGGCUAAUGACGGUACCUGAAGAAUAAGCACCGGCUAACUACGUGCCAGCCGCCGCAGUAAAAC
rnacentral:rRNA from 1 species